ACGAACCUAAAGCAAAAAUGAAAAUGAGAGCAAAAAAACCAGAGUCAUCAACAGCGCAAACAUGUCACAAGUCAAAAGUUUUGCAAUUAACAAAGCGAACCCCGCCCAUUUUUUGCGUCUACAUUAGUGAUUUCACAUACUCCAGUUCAGAGCACAUAAAUUUACAUUUAAAAUUUCUGACUUGACGUGCCUACACUUCCCCAACCUCUCUCUAUGUCUCACUAUGAGUGUGGGCGUGUUUAGGUCUGGAUAUAUUUUGUAAUCGUAGCGGAAAACAGAGAAACUGCUGGGAUGUCCUAUUAACAGUUGUUAAUCAACUAUUUAGCCAACAGAUAAUUAAAUAUGAGUGUGGAAUAUAUUUUACAAUAGAAUCCGAUUAUAGAUUGAGCGUCGGUCAAGAGUUUUGCUCCUAUAAGUUUGUCUGGGGACCAGAAUUUUCGUCGUUACAACCGGAUUCUGAUUCUACUGUAUAUGAUUUGUUGCAUGUUUUAGACAUAUAUUAUUUAUAAUUUUUUUUUAUUAUUUUAUCAUUAAUUUUUUAAAUUUUACUUCAGUGGAUUGGAGAGUCGGAAAAUA